AUAUAUAUAUAUAUAUAUAUAUAUUAAGGACAACCUAAUGCUUACACUAAGCAAUAAUAAAAUCUUUACUUUUAAUAAAUUAAAUAACUUAAGGCCACAAAUAAAAAGACCACAUAACGGUUAUAACCUGUUUAUCAAAAGUGCCAUACACAUAUACAGUAUACAUAUUAAUAUCACAGCCAAAUUCUUAAGGCAGAAUGUACAUAUAAGUCUCUAGAUAUAAUUUUAUAAUACAAAUAUCACCCACUACCGACCUUAAAUUACAUUAAUAUUCCACUAUUUUGUCUAAUCUGCAUUUUUGAGGACUACAUAUUUUGUGAUUUAAAAAACACCUGAAAAUUCUUCUAACGGAGACAUUUACAAAAUGAAUAGGAGAAUAAUGUACUGCAAUGCUACCAUUUUUAAACAUACAUGUCGGGGGGGGGGGGGGUAUGCUGAA